CCUACGGGUGGCAGCAGUGGGGAAUAUUGGACAAUGGGGGCAACCCUGAUCCAGCCAUGCCGCGUGUGUGAAGAAGGCCCUCGGGUUGUAAAGCACUUUCAGUGAGGAAGAACGCCUGGUGGUUAAUACCCAUCAGGAAAGACAUCACUCACAGAAGAAGCACCGGCUAAUUCCGUGCCAGCAGCCGCGGUAAUACGGAGGGUGCGAGCGUUAAUCGGAAUUACUGGGCGUAAAGCGCGCGUAGGUGGCUUGAUAAGCCGGUUGUGAAAGCCCCGGGCUCAACCUGGGAACGGCAUCCGGAACUGUCAAGCUAGAGUGCAGGAGAGGAAGGUAGAAUUCCCGGUGUAGCGGUGAAAUGCGUAGAGAUCGGGAGGAAUACCAGUGGCGAAGGCGGCCUUCUGGACUGACACUGACACUGAGGUGCGAAAGCGUGGGUAGCAAACAGGAUUAGAUACCCCUGUAGUC
rnacentral:rRNA from 1 species